rnacentral:lncRNA from 1 species
CGGAGGAGACGGAUGAGAGGGAGGAGGGCUCGGAGGUGCUCUUACAAAGAGGAAGAUAGGGGUUUUAUCGCCCCAUUUCAACGGCUCCCCGCCGCGAUUUUCACGGCGGUGGGGCGAGAUCAAUGGCCUCUCUUGCGGCCGCGGGGUGGACGCGGACCCUCCGUGGUGCCGCCGCGGUGUAGCGGCGUCCUUGUGCCCGGAGAUGUCGGAGGGGAUCGCGUCUGCGAUCCCCUGUUCUGCCCCUUCCAAAAGGGGUGUUGGGCUGAAGUCGGUUGGGGCUGCCGGCUUCAGCCCAGUAUCUCACAUUCUCUCCCCCUUAAAAGUCGUCCUAAGGUCGAGUGUUCGAUCCUCUCUCACCCCAUCAGUGG